CCUCCAUUUCUUGGCAUGUUGGGUGUUGCUGUGUACCCCUACAUGUAAUGUACAGAGGCAGAUUAUGAUCCCGGUGCUAUGUCUUCGGUGCCAGUCCCUCUUGGGCUGGUUCUAUCCUCAAUCACUGGGACACUU
rfam:Xenopus laevis strain J chromosome 4L, whole genome shotgun sequence.